rnacentral:rRNA from 1 species
GAGUUUGAUCGUGGCUCAGGAUUAACGCUGGCGGCGUGCCUGACACAUGCAAGUCGAACGAGCGAAGCCCUUCGGGGCCCAGCGAGUGGCGGACGGGUGAGUAACACGUGAGGAACCUACCUUCAAGUGGGGAAUAACUCGCAGAAAUGCGAGCUAAUACCGCAUGUGGUUGCGAAGUGGCAUCACUUUGCACCUAAAGAUUUAUCGCUUGGAGACGGCCUCGCGGCCUAUUAGCUAGUUGGUGGGGUAACGGCCUACCAAGGCGAUGAUGGGUAGCUGGUCUGAGAGGACGAUCAGCCACACUGGGACUGAGACACGGCCCAGACUCCUACGGGAGGCAGCAGUGAGGAAUUUUCCGCAAUGGGCGCAAGCCUGACGGAGCAACGCCGCGUGUGUGAUGAAGUCCCUCGGGAUGUAAAGCACUGUCGGAGGGGAUGAAUAAAUGACAGUACCCUCCAAGAAAGCCCCGGCUAACUACGUGCCAGCCGCCGCCGUAAC